AGAGACCCAGGGGCCCAGGGUGCCCAGAGCGCACGUGCGAGGCCUAGGUGGUUCAAUCUCGGCGAUGGUUUGUGGGCAGCGCGGUUCGCUUACAGUCUUCGGUGGGCGUCGGCUGAGUGUUUCCAGACGUCUGCAAAAGUUAGAUGUUCCCAGUGGAAAAGCAAUCUUUGCAUAUAACUGGGACUAGAGUAGCUUGGAAGGUCAGGAUGCCAAAGGACUCGUCCUGCAGAAAACUCCCAUAAACUCUACUUACCCCUCAGUUUAUUCCCCUUCCACAUCCCUCUGGGCCCCGGCCGGUCUCCAUGGGAUUCAGCAGAUGCAACAGCAGAAAGCUGUUUUCAUGGUUUCAGAGAUUGUGGCCAUGUGUGUCAAGUGCAGACUGAGGGGGAGAAACCAGUGCACAUUCUCCGGAUGAAAUGAAACGCGUUUCUGCAUGCCUCUGAACCCUCCCCUUUGACUUACCCUUACCUUUACAUCUUCUUUACUUUUAUUUUUUGCUAUUUUCCCCCAAUUAAAUCUGUAAUCAAUCCAAGAUUUAUUUUGGAGAAUGGUGUGAUAUUUAAGAGCUUUUUAACAAAAUGGCGAUUGUCCCAAACAGUCCAUCUUUUCUCACCUCGUUUAAAAUACCUCUUUAUCUUACAUUAAAUCCUCAGGUGUGUUUUUUCUCUUUUGGGUUUUCCAUUCUGUUCCAUUGAAUGGUCUACUUUUUCUUGCAUCCCUAAUCUAUCAUUUUAACUUCUUUUUAUGUCCCUCAUUAGCUCUUGAUAGUUUUUUUCCUUAUGUAAACCCUACACACUUCUUAUAGUUUGUACUGAUUAUUGUUUUGAUAUCUGUGUAUUCAUUUGACAACCAGAGUGAAGGAUUUUUUUAAGCUAUAAUUUUUUAACAGGAGAAAAAGUUGACAUUUUCUGGCAGAUACUUAGGGAAGGCACAAACUGGAUGGUAAAAAUUUCACCAGAAAGAUGUAAUACUAAAGAACAGUGUGAUGCAGGUGAAAAAAAUCAAAAUGCGCACAGAUGGGCUGUUUGUAUUGAAGGGAAGGCAAAAUAUGUUGACUCCACACUCCAUAGAAACUGGUAUAAACAGUAUUCCCCAGGGUGACUUAUAAGAAUGAUAAAGGAUGUAGUGACAUUUGGAGAGAAGACUCUGACAUUCCCUGAUGCAACCGGGAAUGAGGGUCAAAGCCAUUACCAGGCUGUGGGGAGGCAGGAACCGCACCAGGACUCCAGGCAGAUACAGAAGCCGCAGAGGUGCACUGUUCAGAUCUGUCAUCAAGAGAACCUAACGUGGAAGCACAGCUGAACUGUAGCCACCAGCUGCUCCAUUUUUUGUCCACCACAAGGCUCCCACUGAGGCCUUGUGUCUGCCGUGCUGUGUCGAGCCAAUGACUGAGCACAGAAGGGAUACCAAGGCCAAGUCAUUUCUGUCAGCAUAGGACUCCUCUACAGGCAACCUCUGGAUGGAGGCUCACCAUCACAACCCCAAGGGCCUACGCUGUGAUUUUCCUGCUGGGGCUUGCUCUGAGAGCCACGCUACAACUUUUCCCCACCACUGAUGCCACUAACCCCAUGGGGUCUACCAGACCCUGUGACCAAAGCAGGAGGGCUGCUUGAAGCACAGCCUGGACCGACUGCAGAACUUGUCUGCACUUCAGUCUUGCAUACUUUACUGUCACCAAGGUGUAAGGACCAAAGGAGUAUUCCUAAGUGUGGGACAGCGUUUCUCAACCUUGUUCUGUUGACAUAUUGGUCAGGUAAUUCUUUGUUGGGGGUCGGGAGCUGUCCUGUGUAUGGUAGGACAUUUAGCAGCAUUCCUCAUGUCUGCCACUAGAUGUUAGUAGUAGCAUCCUCAGUUGUGACAAUAAAAAUGUCUCCAGGCAUUGCAAAAUGUCCCCUGGGGAGCAAAAUUGCUCUUCCAUCCCCACGUGUUGAGAAUCGCUGAUGUUAAUAUGCUGCCUCCAGAACCCAGUGGCCAACAAAUCUGUUUCCUUCUUUGUGAAAAGGUAUCAGGAGGCAAUUUGUCUUUCACUUCUGAGGGAAUAUCCUGACAUGCCCUUGACCCUGGAUCCCUAAGAACAUCACGGAAGUGGCAAUUCAUGUCUUACCAAGGCCUCCAGGACUACAGCCACUUACUGCUCAUCCUGUCAAAUCAGCAUGAUAUCAUCAAUAAAACAGACCAGUGUGAUGCUCUGGGGA